rnacentral:lncRNA from 1 species
GUUGGGUUUGAGCUUGCUAGACCUGCUUACGCACAAACUCAGAAAAUUGAGGUGCGGUUGGGCAUUUACUAACAAAAUAGAUCAGGCUUGCACACAAUGCACAAACAUCUUGGACUGGGUUAGGUAGAAUCGGGAAGUAUCUAGUAUUCAGAAGACAGUCUAAUUUUUGGGACAACUCAUUUAUCUCACUAUGGAUAUCCAUAACAUUUUCAAUCUGAUAGAUUCCACCUCUUUUCUAUUG